rnacentral:lncRNA from 1 species
AAAUGCUAGGCUUCUUGAACACCCACAUUUUAGCACUAGUACCAUGGACGUGCAGAAGUUUUUGUUGAAUGCCUUUGCGUAGAGAACCUUCCUUAUUUGCUUAUAUGCACACAAAAUACAAAAAUGUAUGUUUGUGGGUGUGUGAUUCUCCAUUUUUCCUUCUUUCUUUUAAUCUUGGUGGAAGAUUCUUGAGGAAGAAAGCAUAAUUAAAGGAGC